GUGGGGAAUAUUGGACAAUGGGCGAAAGCCUGAUCCAGCCAUGCCGCGUGUGUGAAGAAGGUCUUCGGAUUGUAAAGCACUUUAAGUUGGGAGGAAGGGCAGUAAGUUAAUACCUUGCUGUUUUGACGUUACCGACAGAAUAAGCACCGGCUAACUUCGUGCCAGCAGCCGCGGUAAUACGAAGGGUGCAAGCGUUAAUCGGAAUUACUGGGCGUAAAGCGCGUGUAGGUGGUUUUGUAAGUUGGAGGUGAAAUCCCCGGGCUCAACCUGGGAACUGCCUCAAAAACUGCAUGACUAGAGUACGGUAGAGGGUAGUGGAAUUUCCUGUGUAGCGGUGAAAUGCGUAGAUAUAGGAAGGAACACCAGUGGCGAAGGCGACUACCUGGACUGAUACUGACACUGAGGUGCGAAAGCGUGGGGAGCAAACAGGAUUAGAAACCCCGGUAGUCC
rnacentral:rRNA from 1 species